UAUUUAGAAUAAGUAGUUAUUUUCAGAAUGUAGAUAUCUAGUGUAUAGUAUAAACAGGGAUAGAUAAUUGCUGAAAAGGUGGUUCAGCAGGUAGAAUAGAUGAAUAGUCAAGAAAAGUAGUUAUCAUCUAUAGUAUAGGAGUUGAUAUCUCGGAGUAGUAUAGGGAGGAUGGGAGAGAGGAAGAAAAUGCCAGACUGUGAUAGUCAUGAGCCAAGGUAAGCUUAGUGCUAUCUCUUCU
rnacentral:lncRNA from 1 species